rnacentral:lncRNA from 1 species
AAAUCAAUCAUUAAACAACAACAACAACAACAACAUUAAAAGUAAAGAAAAUAGUUAAAGGUUCUGCACUACUAGUGUCACCUUGAGGAACUACAAAAAUAAAGCAUAGUACUACUAGGUUUGUAUCACUAGAUAUGAAUUAUAUCAGUCAGUUUUCUCUGUCUCUCUCAGAAAAAAAAAUGCCGUCUAAUGCAGGUUUGAGGACAUAUCCUUCAGUAUGGUGCAGAUUGGUCUUUCAUGAGUUUUUAAGCAAUAAUAAUGACACGUCUUGUAUAUGACGAUAAAUGUUCUAAUGUGUUACAGAGUGAGUUAACACCUGCUGAGUGAUUGGGUAUUAUCUGUAGAAAAUAAAAUCGCACAAUUCAACAUUUUAAACUCCAAACAGACCAGUUUUGGUAACUGUAUUGGUAAAUUUGCAAUAGAAAAUAAAGCAACUCAUUACCAAACAACAUUAUUUGAAGGUUAAGCAUCCUAAAGAAUAUGUAGAUGUGUUCUAAAAUCAGAAUUUUCCAGAAUGAUUUUAACUGAGAAUUUUUCACCGAUCCGGAGUUGGCAUGUAUGAUUAUCAUGUUAAUGAUGUCCAAUUCAUGACAAACUUAGUUUUUGAAAACAAGUAUUAAUAAAAAGAAAAAGUGUCAAUUUUGAAUUUGUUGUUGACUACUGCAGUCCUCUGACUAAAAAACAGUUGUCUGAUUCACACGUUAUGUUAGAUUCACGGCUUACUGAUUCAUUUGCUGCUUGUCGUUCUGCAACAGCAGCUCCUGGAUCCUCCUCGUCAGCUGCUGAGCUCACAGGAGCCCAUGGAGGCCAAUGAAGAGCGUCCCGAGACUCCGAGUCAGAGUGAGGAGCAGCAGCUGACGGCCGCUGAGGAAGAGGGGGUACAGGCGAAGAUUGGGGACCAGAGAGAUAAGGAAGAGCAGGAGCAGGGUCAUACUAAAAUACUGUCCACGAACACUGAGUGUUGAAUGUUCUUUUACCUUUUCUGUCCUGAGCGCUGCCGGAGCUGUGACUGACUGCUGGGAACUCAGCUGCAUCAGCUUCAUCAGGGUCUCUGGCGUCUGUCAGCAGGAACUCCUGGAAACAUUAACAGAGCUUUCAAGAGGAACUUAUUACGCAACUCAACAGUCGCUCCCACAGAGGAUGUCGUGUGGCUCGUGUUUCUGGGGCAUCGUCUGGCUGCUGGUCCUGCUGGUUCUCGGCUGGCCCUUGAGCAUUAUGCUGGGGGGUCUGUAUGGCCUCAUCGCCCCUCUCACCGUCUGCGUCGGUCUGGACCGGCUGGCUGACCUGCUGAUGGAGGGGGCCAAUCUAGGCCGAAAGUGUGCCCUUAACAUGAGGCACGGCAAAGCGUUAUGCUGAGACCACGAGCCUGGCUGCUGGUCCU